rnacentral:rRNA from 1 species
UAUGUAGGGUGCAAGCGUUGUCCGGAAUUAUUGGGCGUAAAGAGCUCGUAGGCGGUUUGUCGCGUCGAAUGUGAAAACCCGGGGCUCAACCCCGGGCCUGCAUUCGAUACGGGCAGACUAGAGUUCGGUAGGGGAGCCUGGAAUUCCUGGUGUAGCGGUGAAAUGCGCAGAUAUCAGGAGGAACACCGGUGGCGAAGGCGGGACUCUGGGCCGAUACUGACGCUGAGGAGCGAAAGCGUGGGGAGCAAACAGG